rnacentral:rRNA from 1 species
CCUACGGGUGGCAGCAGUGAGGAAUAUUGGUCAAUGGCCGGAAGGCUGAACCAGCCAAGCCGCGUGAAGGACGAAGGUGCCAAGCAUUGUAAACUUCUUUUGUCAAGGGACAAAAUCAGGCUCGAGAGCCUGACCGAGGGUACUUGAAGAAUAAGCAUCGGCUAACUCCGUGCCAGCAGCCGCGGUAAUACGGAGGAUGCGAGCGUUAUCCGGAUUUAUUGGGUUUAAAGGGUGCGUAGGGGGGCUGUUAAGUCAGUGGGUAAAGGCAGGGGCUCAACCCCCGAAUGGCAAUUGAAACUGGCUGUCUUGAGAUGUGGAGAGGUAGGCGGAAUGCGCGGUGUAGCGGUGAAAUGCUUAGAUAUUGCGAAGAACUCCGAUUGCGAAGGCAGCAUACCGGCGGCGCUCUGACGCUGAGGCACGAAAGCGUGGGUAUCGAACAGGAUUAGAUACCCGAGUAGUC